rnacentral:tRNA from 1 species
ACUGCACAAAGUAGCGGGAUUUAUUAUUUCAACCAACGAGAUCAACACAAUCAUCAUGAAUAUAUUGC